rnacentral:misc_RNA from 1 species
AAGUAAAAGUCGUAACAAGGUUUCCGUAGGUGAACCUGCGGAAGGAUCAUUACCGAGUGUAGGGUUCCUAGCGAGCCCAACCUCCCACCCGUGUUUACUGUACCUUAGUUGCUUCGGCGGGCCCGCCAUUCAUGGCCGCCGGGGGCUCUCAGCCCCGGGCCCGCGCCCGCCGGAGACACCACGAACUCUGUCUGAUCUAGUGAAGUCUGAGUUGAUUGUAUCGCAAUCAGUUAAAACUUUCAACAAUGGAUCUCUUGGUUCCGGCAUCGAUGAAGAACGCAGCGAAAUGCGAUAACUAGUGUGAAUUGCAGAAUUCCGUGAAUCAUCGAGUCUUUGAACGCACAUUGCGCCCCCUGGUAUUCCGGGGGGCAUGCCUGUCCGAGCGUCAUUGCUGCCCAUCAAGCACGGCUUGUGUGUUGGGUCGUCGUCCCCUCUCCGGGGGGGACGGGCCCCAAAGGCAGCGGCGGCACCGCGUCCGAUCCUCGAGCGUAUGGGGCUUUGUCACCCGCUCUGUAGGCCCGGCCGGCGCUUGCCGAACGCAAAUCAAUCUUUUUCCAGGUUGACCUCGGAUCAGGUAGGGAUACCCGCUGAACCUAAGCAUAUCAAUAAGCGGAGG